rnacentral:lncRNA from 1 species
GUUUUAAAUGUAUGAGGUUUUUACAUAUCCUCACCACAAAGACGUGAGUUUGCGAAAUGAAUUUCCUUAAGAAACUUCUCCUCUGUGUUCCCACAGAUGCUAACGUGGAGCAGAGAGGAUCCUGAGCUACCAGAGACUUGCACCCCCAGCCACCCGGAGAUGCUGCACCCACUACCUUUUACAUACCUAACUCAUAGAUCUCCAGGACAUGUGAUAGCAAGCAAGAGUGGCUUAUAAGGACUUAGAAUCAGCACCUACAGCUGCAGGUAGGGUUACGCCUGAAUCACUGCCAAUCACUGAAUCACUGAAUCACUGGCAACGCUAUUUCCUUCUUUUUGCUACAUUAAUCUAUGG